GAGUUUGAUCCUGGCUCAGAUUGAACGCUGGCGGCAUGCCUUACACAUGCAAGUCGAACGGCAGCGCGGGAGCAAUCCUGGCGGCGAGUGGCGAGCGGGUGAGUAAUACAUCGGAACGUGCCCAAUCGUGGGGGAUAACGCAGCGAAAGCUGUGCUAAUACCGCAUACGAUCUACGGAUGAAAGCAGGGGAUCGCAAGACCUUGCGCGAAUGGAGCGGCCGAUGGCAGAUUAGGUAGUUGGUGAGGUAAAGGCUCACCAAGCCUUCGAUCUGUAGCUGGUCUGAGAGGACGACCAGCCACACUGGGACUGAGACACGGCCCAGACUCCUACGGGAGGCAGCAGUGGGGAAUUUUGGACAAUGAGCGAAAGCCUGAUCCAGCCAUGCCGCGUGCAGGAUGAAGGCCUUCGGGUUGUAAACUGCUUUUGUACGGAACGAAACGGUCUUCUCUAAUAAAGAGGGCUAAUGACGGUACCGUAAGAAUAAGCACCGGCUAACUACGUGCCAGCAGCCGCGGUAAUACG
rnacentral:rRNA from 1 species